GAUGAACGCUGGCGGCGUGCCUAAUACACGCAAGUCGAGCGAAUGGAUUAAGAGCUUGCUCUUAUGAAGUUAGCGGCGGACGGGUGAGUAACCCGUGGGUAACCUGCCCAUAAGACUGGGAUAACUCCGGGAAACCGGGGCUAAUACCGGAUAACAUUUUGAACCGCAUGGUUCGAAAUUGAAAGGCGGCUUCGGCUGUCACUUAUGGAUGGACCCGCGUCACAUUAGCUAGUUGGUGAGGUAACGGCUCACCAAGGCAACGAUGCGUAGCCGACCUGAGAGGGUGAUCGGCCACACUGGGACUGAGACACGGCCCAGACUCCUACGGGAGGCAGCAGUAGGGAAUCUUCCGCAAUGGACGAAAGGCUGACGGAGCAACGCCGCGUGAGUGAUGAAGGCUCUCGGGUCGUAAAACUCUGUUGUUAGGGAAGAACAAGUGCUAGUUGAAUAAGCUGGCACCUUGACGGUACCUAACCAGAAAGCCACGGCUAACUACGUGCCAGCCGCCGCAGUAA
rnacentral:rRNA from 1 species